GGCUGCGGAGGCUUCUCGGGGCCCCGGCGGCUCGACCUGGUACGGGCGGGAGGCUCGGGCAGGCGGCCCGGCGCGGGACUCGGGCGUGAGUGACCAAGGGGUGCUGACCGCGGCGCUCGGACCCGGCAACUUACAAGAUUAAAAUUAAAUUUGGUUGAUGAUGGUUCUGGACAAAUACAGCUCUUUUAUUUGAGGUAUGCCAUUUUGAAGACAGACCCGUGGAAUUUUAUCCUUGAGGAUAGGGGAAAUCUUUGUGAAAGUCUGUAUUUUAUAAAGCAACAAUAUGAAUCCUGAGGCUGAAUUGUCUAAGGGGCCUGUACAGCGAAAUAGAUCACCCAGUCAGCUUGAAGAGUCUCAAAUGGACCCUACAACUGAGAAAUCAAGAUGGCAGUCCACUAUGGGAAAUGAGAAAAAUGGACUAAUGCAAGAGUGCUGUGAUAAUAACAACCAAGACAGGGUUCUUUUAACAUGGAUUUCAUGAAUGAAGAUAUAGGUUUCUUAACCAACACAAUGGACAGUGGAUUUGACUUUGGAAAGACUUUUUGUAUCAUAAAAACAAGAACAUUUUUGACACUUGGAGAAGAAAGAUGACACAUUAACAGAUGAUAGUGUGUAUGCCUGGAAUUUUUUGGUUUGAUUUGUAUGAGAAUGACCUUGUGGAAUGUUAACUUUAAUAAAAUUUCUAACAGUUUAAAAUUUCUCAGUUUGGGCUUUUUUUUUUUAAAGCGGAAAUUUCAUUAAAUUCUCAGUGUCGCCUUAAAUAACAUUUUGACCUUUAUAGUUGCCCAGCAGUAAAGCAUACUGAAUAAAGCUGGUAAAAUGGAAAUGGUGUGCUGGAAAAUGUUUUGUUUGGUUGAUUUAGAUUUGUCUUUUGACAAAGUUGUGCAAAUUUAUUUGUGCCUUAAGAGAUGGUUGAGUGUUGAGUUAAAAUACUGUUACAUGCUUUCUUGAAAUAUCUUGCAAAAUAAGUUAACCAAUGAGUAAUAAUAGAAUACUUAAUUUGCUGUGAGAUUACAAUGAACUUUUAAAACAAACUGCCUUUUGCUUCAAAAUUCAUGAUACAGUCUUUUUCUGAGUUUUGAUGGGAAAAGUACCUUUUCUAUGUUUUUUAAAUGUUAUAAAUAAGAACAUCUGAGCAUUAAAACAAAAUCCUCUUGUCUUAAUAGUUAAUAUUACGUGAAGAGGUGUUGGAUUUAUAGAGAGGUUUCCUUAGGGUAUUCAUAAAAGGAUUUAAAAUUUUGGUGGCAGUAAUGUAUACAAUAUAUUUUAUAAAAUAGAAUCAUUAUAUUUUUCUUAUUCUAUACAUUUAGGAAUUUAGAUUAAAUGAAUCACACCAUGCCAUAGAUAACUUAUGUUUGAGUUCUAGGUGAACACUGCAGUUUCAUUUAUUGAUAAUCAACUAAAAUCAGUUUCAAUUACUGUUAUGAGAUGUGGUAGGCUUUAUUUUGACAAACCAAAUUAAUUGUUGAUUAUAUUUUCCCAUUAUAGACAGAACAAGUGAUAAUGUUGGGGUUUUUUUUGAUGAGGAAGUGUUCGUCAUACUGCGUUUGUGAUUAAUGUAAAAUACCAGGAUAUGCAUGUUGAUGAUAUAUAGUACAUGUACAGUAUUUGUUCUCAUUGGCUGAUUUGAGGUGUUUGUAUAAAUCAAAAGUGGAAAUUUGGAUUUUGAUACAAAAUUAUCUUUUGUAGAAAGUAUGGAAUUGAAGCUAGGUUUUGGUUAUAGAUUUUAUAAUCACCCAGGUGCAAAAUUGUUGCUUUUGUUGGGUGUAAAUCUAAAUUGAUUUCUCAAUGAGGAGAAGGACAUUGUUCUGGCAGAUUGUAAUGUUGAGUAUGGAAAGAUGAUUUGUUUUUUGAAUGUGAGUGUUUUUUUGGGGUGCUUGUUGAGAAAGUGUUGAAUAAUUUGGUUUUGUCAUUUGUAAUUUUGUUUCUUCAGAUGUUAUGGUUUUAUUUAGGAGAAUUUGCCCUGUGACAUUAUUUUGAUUACUUUCCAUCAAAAUGACUGGUUAUUAAUUUAUUGUUGUUGAAAUGGGUAAAUACUUAGAAUUUGAUUUGAAAUACAAGAGAAUGGUUGAGAUACAUGUGUUGGUUUUGGAGGUGGAGUUUUUUGGGUUUGUUUUUUCGUAGUAGUUCCAUACUCUUGAAUUGUUUUUCCUGAAUCAUUGUUGUUAUGAGAAUUUUGGGGGUAAAGUUUAUCAGGGUUAUAUAAUGGGUUAAAAGAAUUUUGUGAAAGUACAAAUGAAAAUUGAGAUUCUUGAAUAAAAUCUUGUUGCA
rnacentral:lncRNA from 1 species